AACUCCCUAUUUGGCCAAGAUCAUGAGACUACAUUUGUGAAACCUCUCUUGCGACCCCUCCAACGAGCUCUAUUGGUAAGUUCACUUCUUCUAAUAUGUGGAGUUCACAUCUCCUAAUUGGUAAAUUUCACAUCUCCCUGCUACUUCAGUUUAGAUAUUCCUGCUAGGUAAAUUGGUCUUUCCGAUUUGAAAUUUUUUGUUAACUGAAUUUUGAAGUUCACAAAUGGAUAAAUGUGACGCUCAGAUAGACAUGAAUGUGAAGUUCAUGAAUUUGUUGAUGUUUGUUUUACAAUCAUGCUUGAAGUUCACCUCUUUUUUCUCUGGGAUUUAGCCUUGUCCAUUUUAUCGGCAAGUUCGCAUUGUAAUUUCCUGGAAGUGCACAUUUGUCUACGUGAAAGGAAGUUUAUCUUUUUAGUAUACAUAUUUUGGUCGAAACAAUUCAAUUUGACUUGCAAGAGAAGUCUGAUUUAAUGUGAAAAAUAAAGUCCACUUGUCAAGCAAUAGAGGUUUGUUUACUGAAAAGCCGAAGUUCACUUCAUAAAAAAAAUGCUUGUAUGCUUAUUAGGAGAACUAUAUUUCUGGAGUAAUUUUCCACCGAAAUAUACCUGUCUAUGUUGACAGUUGACACUCCUAAUUUACAAAAAGUUGGCUUUAGAAUAGCAGAGAAGUUCACUCUUGUUAAAAUGCUGGUCCAUAUAAAUUACUUGACAUUUUUCUUUUGUAUAAGAACUAGGAUGAUGUAUUUUAUCAUUUAAUAUCUCAGCUUCUAAGACUAUUACUUAGAAGCUGCCUUUGUUUUCUGUAUCAUUUUCCAAAGAAUCAAUACUGCUUGUUUUACAUUUGUGCGAGUUCACUGGAUGAUUCGGAGUAGGAUGGUUGCUACUAGAUUCCUUGUGUUUUUUCCUUAUCAUUACCUUUUGUUUUUUUGAUGAUAGUUAGUCACUUUAUUUUCAAUUAUAUGCAGGCAUACUUGCAUGCAACUAUAGCGGAUGUUAACUCUAGAUUCAAUCUCCAUAUUUGGAACACAUGUCCAUGGCAUGUCCCUUUUGAGACAUUUGAUUAUCUAAUCUUACUGCAUAUAUGCAAGUAAACAAUUCGAAUAUUAUAGUUACACUUAUUUGUUUUAAUAUAGUGAAUGAUAAUAUUUAUCUUUAUGAUUGAUGCAACACAGCUACAAUAUUCAGAUAUGUUAAUGUUUUCUUUCAGUAGUUCGUCUAAUAUGUUCGCUUCUAUUUUGUGUGGAGUUAGAUUCAUAUAUCUUCAGAAGUUCAGUUUUCCUAUUUCACGUAUUGCCUUGGUUAUUUGACUAUCUAGUUCUUCAUAGUAAGUUGGAUUUUAUUGGCACUUUUUAAAAGCAUAAUGACUUACAGUCUAACAUUGUUGAAAAAGUUGUUCUAUGCUUAUUAAUUAUUGGCAGGUUUACCAUGACCAGGAUGCCAUCUCUAUCUAGUGAUUCUGAUACAGUUCACAUCUGACACUUGUGCAGUUCACAUCUGAACCUGUAUGAGGAUGGGUUCUGAACUGCAAGAGGAUGCAUGCUCGUGAUGGCGUCGCCGUCUCAGAGUAACAUAGGAUCACAUGUCACCAUGAACUCCGGCUCUCCCGCAUAGCCACAGCCGACACGGGACAAGCGCCGCCACAGGAGUUCACAUGCCCCGCUGCGGUAGUUCACGCCGCUCUCCGCAGUGAGCAUGUGAAGUUAUAUCUUUAGAUUCCAAUGUGAUAUUGUUCUACAGCCCUAACUGCAAGUAGAGCACCACAAGAGUUCAUUGUGCCUCCCUCGGCAGUCCGUUGUGCGUAGCCGGGAAGUCCACACGCGCAUACCCUGACAGUCCUGUGCGUGCCGCCGGGGCGUAAAACUACAAUACGCUGAUGUUUAGCCGCUGAUUCACAUGCAUGUCCUCUGAACCGUCGAUUCUUAGUUCUGCAAUUAAUACAUGUCUUAGCUUGUUUUGGGGCGAUGUAUUGCAAAUUGUAGGGAUAAAAAUAGGUUAAUGGCUUGCUGUGAUUUCUCCACUCUAGCUUAUAAAGGUGCACGACACCUACUCUGUGGAACACAGUUGGUUGUGAAGUUCAGAUAAAUAGAGUCGUGGAGUUCAGAAAGAGACCAGCAUGUGUGAAGUUUAGAGACAUGCCUCGGCAGAGUUAUUCUGAAUUGUAAUCUGUAGUCAUUGAAUAUCUGGUAGCAUCUCAAGUUCAGAAACUACAAUUGUUUACAUUUUUAUCUUGUAUAUGUUCACUUCGUCUCCAAGAUGAAAUUCACUCCGCCUGUAGUUUUUUUUUUGGUUGUACAAUUCUACCAAAGUGGAAGUUAAUAUAUUUAUGCGUUGUACACUUCUCUGAAAAAGUGGAAGUU